rnacentral:rRNA from 1 species
UGCAAGUCGAGGGGCAGCGGGAGUAGCAAUACUUGCCGGCGACCGGCGCACGGGUGCGUAACACGUAUACAACCUACCUUUAACAGGGGGAUAGCCUUUCGAAAGAGAGAUUAAUACCCCGUAAUAAAUUGAAUGGCAUCAUUUGAUUUUGAAAGUUCCGACGGUUAAAGAUGGGUAUGCGUCCUAUUAGCUAGUUGGUGGUGUAAUGGACCACCAAGGCUACGAUAGGUAGGGGAUCUGAGAGGACUACCCCCCACACUGGUACUGAGACACGGACCAGACUCCUACGGGAGGCAGCAGUAAGGAAUAUUGGUCAAUGGAGGCAACUCUGAACCAGCCAUGCCGCGUGCAGGAAGACGGCCCUAUGGGUUGUAAACUGCUUUUGUACCAGAGAAAACCCCUCUACGUGUAGAGGGUUGAUAGUAUGGUAAGAAUAAGCAUCGGCUAACUUCGUGCCAGCAGCCGCGGUAAGACGAAGGAUGCAAGCGUUAUCCGGAUUCAUUGGGUUUAAAGGGUGCGUAGGCGGACUUGUAAGUCAGUGGUGAAAUCUCUUCGCUUAACGAAGAAACUGCCAUUGAUACUGCAGGUCUAGAGUACAGAUGAUGUGGGCGGAAUAUGGCAUGUAGUGGUGAAAUACUUAGAUAUGUCAUAGAACACCGAUUGCGAAGGCAGCUCACAAAACUGUAACUGACGCUGACGCACGAAAGUGCGGGGAUCAAACAGAUUAGAUACCCUGGUAGUCCGCACCGUAAACGA